rnacentral:rRNA from 1 species
AACGAACGCUGGCGGCAUGCCUAACACAUGCAAGUCGAACGAGACCUUCGGGUCUAGUGGCGCACGGGUGCGUAACACGUGGGAAUCUGCCCUUUGCUUCGGAAUAACAGUUAGAAAUGACUGCUAAUACCGGAUGAUGUCGAAAGACCAAAGAUUUAUCGGCAAAGGAUGAGCCCGCGUAGGAUUAGGUAGUUGGUGGGGUAAAGGCCUACCAAGCCGACGAUCCUUAGCUGGUCUGAGAGGAUGAUCAGCCACACUGGGACUGAGACACGGCCCAGACUCCUACGGGAAGCAGCAGUGGGGAAUAUUGGACAAUGGGCGAAAGCCUGAUCCAGCAAUGCCGCGUGAGUGAUGAAGGUCUUAGGGUUGUAAAGCUCUUUUAACAGGGAUGAUAAUGACAGUACCUGGAGAAUAAGCUCCGGCUAACUCCGUG